rnacentral:snRNA from 1 species
UUGCUUUACCAGCACACAGCCUAACAACUGAAAUGAUACAGAGAAGAUUACCAUGGCCCUUGUAUGAGGACGACAUACAACAGUCUUCCAUAUUUUU